rnacentral:rRNA from 1 species
CAUCACUACGCUAGAUGCAUAUCAAUAAGCGGAGGAAAAGAAACUAACAAGGAUUCCCUUAGUAACGGCGAGUGAAGCGGGAAGAGCUCAAAUUUGAAAUCUUCGAGGUUUUACCUUGACGAAUUGUAGUUUAAAGAAGUGUUUUCUGUUGGAGUUUUGGUAAAAGUUCUUUGGAAUAGGACAUCAUAGAGGGUGAGAAUCCCGUAUUUGACCAUUAUUUCCAGCUGUGUGAUACACUUUCAAAGAGUCGGAUUGUUUGGGAAUGCAGUCCAAAAUGGGUGGUAAAUUUCAUCUAAAGCUAAAUAUUGGCGAGAGACCGAUAGCGAACAAGUACCGUGAGGGAAAGAUGAAAAGAACUUUGAAAAGAGAGUUAAACAGUACGUGAAAUUGUCAAAAGGGAAGCGUUUGACACCAGUGUUGUUUUCUCGAAAAUCAAUUAAAAAUGAUGGGAUUUUGUGUUGUAUUGACUUUAUCAGCUUUCUGCACUUUUUUCUUAUCUUUUUUAAUGCACUUUUCGUUUAACAAGUCAACAUCAAUUUCUAUUGUUGUAAAAGAGUCAUUGGAAGGUGGCUUUUUCUUCGGAAAAAGUGUUUAUAGCCUUUGGCUUCUGCAAUCGGAGAGAUUGAGGUCUGCAGCGUAGAUCCUUCGGGGUUAGAUACAUUUGUGCUAAGCUAUAGUUCUUUAUAGACAACUUGUUGACUAUAAUCAAUCCUGUAACUUACUCGCUUAUGCUAUUUUACCUACGCUUAGGAUGUUGAUAUGCAUGACUGAUAU